UCGAUUGAGUUUGAUCAUGGCUCAGGACGAACGCUGGCGGCGUGCUUAAACCAUGCAAGUCGAGCGACGACGCCUGGAGGGGUAACCCUCUGGGUGGACGGAGCGGCGAACGGGUGAGUAACACGUGAGGAACCUGCCCCAGAGUCCGGGAUAGCCCGGGGAAACCCGGAUUAAUACCGGAUAUCCACCUCCGAUCGCAUGGUCGGAGAUGUAAAGAUUCACCGCUUUGGGAUGGCCUCGCGGCCUAUCAGCUUGUUAGUGGGGUAAAGGCCUACCAAAGCUACGAUCCGUAGCUGGUCUGAGAGGAUGAUCAGCCACACUGGGACUGAGACACGGCCCAGACUCCUACGGGAGGCAGCAGUGGGGAAUCUUGCGCAAUGCGGGAAACCGUGACGCAGCGACGCCGUGUGCGGGAAGAAGGCCUUCGGGUUGUAAACCGCUUUCAGGAGGGACGAAGCUACUCGGGUUAAUAGCCCAGAGGGUGACGGUACCUCCAGAAGAAGCCCCGGCUAACUACGUGCCAGCAGCCGCGGUAAUACGUAGGGGGCGAGCGUUGUCCGGAUUUAUUGGGCGUAAAGAGCGUGUAGGCGGCUAGAUAGGUCCGCUGUGAAAACUCGAGGCUCAACCUCGAGACGUCGGCGGAAACCAUUUGGCUAGAGUCCGGAAGAGGAGAGUGGAAUUCCUGGUGUAGCGGUGAAAUGCGCAGAUAUCAGGAAGAACACCCGUGGCGGAAGCGGCUCUCUGGGACGGUACUGACGCUGAGACGCGAAAGCGUGGGGAGCGAACAGGAUUAGAUA
rnacentral:rRNA from 1 species